GACGUAGGGCGCAAGCGUUGUCCGGAUUUAUUGGGCGUAAAGAGCUCGUAGGCGGCUUGUUGCGUCGGCUGUGAAAACCCGUGGCUUAACUGCGGGCUUGCAGCCGAUACGGGCGGGCUGGAGUUCGGUAGGGGAGACUGGAAUUCCUGGUGUAGCGGUGAAAUGCGUAGAUAUCUGGAGGAACACCGGUGGCGAAGGCGGCAUCCUGGACCAAUAUUGACGCUGAGGAGCGAAAGCCAGGGGAGCAAACGGG
rnacentral:rRNA from 1 species